CAGCAUGCACUCGGUGCCUCCGAGGAAGGCGGAGGGGGGCCGAGAGGAGCAGCAGCGGCCGGUGAAGCAGUCCCUCAGUAAGUCCCUCUGCAGAGAAUCCCACUGGAAAUGUCUGCUCCUCUCCCUUCUCAUGUAUGGCUGCAUGGGAGCUAUGACCUGGUGCCAUGUGACCAAGGUCACCCGACUGACCUUUGACAGUGCCUACAAGGGCAAGUCCAUGAUGUAUCACGAUAGCCCCUGCUCCAAUGGCUAUGUUUACAUCCCCCUGGCCUUCCUGGUGAUGCUGUACGUGGUCUACCUGGUGGAGUGCUGGCACUGCUACACCCGCAACGAGCUGCAGUACAAGGUGGACGUGGACAGCGUACAUGAGCGGGUGCAGAGAAUGCAGCAGGCCACCCCGUGCAUCUGGUGGAAAGCCAUCAGCUACCACUAUGUCCGGAGGACCCGGCAGGUCACCCGCUACCGCAAUGGGGAUGCCUACACCACGACCCAGGUGUAUCACGAGAGGGUGAACACUCAUGUGGCGGAGGCCGAGUUUGACUACUCCAACUGUGGGGUGAAGGACAUCUCCAAGGAUCUGAUGGACCUGGAGAGCUACCCAGCCACUCGGCUCCGCUUCACCAAAUGCUUCAGCUUUGCCAACGUGGAGUCCGAGAACUCCUACCUGACCCAGCGCGCCCGUUUCUUCACCGAGAACGAGGGGCUGGACGACUACAUGGAGGCCAGGGAGGGGAUGCACCUCAAGAAUGUGGAUUUCAAGGAAUACAUGGUGGCCUUUUCAGACCCAGAUAACCUUCCCUGGUACGUGUCCCACUACGUCUUCUGGGUGGCUGCCCUGCUGACCCUGUCCUGGCCCCUGCGGGUGCUGAAUGAGUACCGCACCUCCUACGUCCAUUACCACGUGGAGAAGCUCUUUGGGUUUGACUUUGUGGCUGUAACCCCAGCUGAGGAGCGCUCCUUCUGCAGGAGGAUGCCCCGUGUCAACACAGUGGACAGCACUGAGCUGGAGUGGCACAUCCGGUCCAACCAGCAGCUAGUGCCCAGCUACUCAGAGGCUGUCCUGAUGGACUUGGUGGGGCUCUCCAGCUGCACCAGCUACUCUGCUUGCAGGUACGGGGGCUACCGGCAGAACUGCGAGCGGUGCCAUAGGACUAUAAGCAGCUCAUCCAUCUUCUCCCGCAGCGCCCUGAGCAUCUGCAACGGCAGCCCAAGGAUCCCUUUCAGCAGCAGCCGCUUCUCGCUGGGCCGCCUCUAUGGCUCCCGGCGCAGCUGCCUCUGGCAGAGUCGGAGUGGGAGCCUGAACGAGCAGAGCUGCCCAACUGAGCAAACCCGGCUUUCCAGCCAGGUCACAGUGGAGGAGGAGGACCCUCCUGCUUACCAGGAUGCCCUCUACUUCCCCGUCCUUAUUGUGCACCGCAACGAGGGCUGCCUCAACCACGACCACCGUCACCUCCAUCGGAACGGGUCCUGCAUGGAGACCUCACUGUGAGUGGAGGGCGGCGAGGAUCUCCCUCUUGAUCACCAUGUCUCCAGACACAGGGACUUCGGAAGGGAGGGGAUAGCCAGGAAAAUGAGGCACCAGUGCCCCGCUCAGCAUGUGGGAUGGAGAGGUCACUGCCUCUUGGUCUCCAAGGAUAGGCUCAACAGCUUCUGCAUUUGCCACAUGGCCCCUUUGAUGUCACAGAGGAGAGGGUGGCAGCAGGAUGGGUGAGCAGCAGCGCCACCUGUGGCAUGGCACAAAAUGACAGGACUGACGGCCACAUGCAGAAAAUGGUAAAAAAGAAAGGACUGAAGGAGGGAGCUGGGUGCUGUAGUUCCACGCUCUGCCUCGAAAGGCCCCCACUGGUUGGAACAGUGCUAAAUGACAACUACCGCCCACCACCCUGCUGCACCUGUGACCUCUGCCCCUCUCCCCCAGCGCUGCAGACUUGCUCUCCCACAGAGGGGUCCUGCACGGGGCCAAGAGGAGCAAGGCCUGGCAGCACAUUCCCUUUGAAGCAGUGAUUAACUCCUCAUGCGCCAAAGAUCCUGGGGCACCCGGGCCCAUAGAGCUGAAGGGCAGUUUAGAGGAAAUGCUCAAGACCACAAGGCCAACUCUUUCGCCCUUUUGUUGAGACUGUGCUCUGACUGUUACACUGUCCUCAGCUGCUGGGAGGGGCAUUGCCACCAGAUGGCUCUUUAGAAAGCCUCAGCACUCCAGGGCCAAGAAUCAGCAUCCCCUAGGUAAAGCUUAAAGCAUUCCUAGGACUUUUUUCCAUUUGGAGUUGCAAAGAGCAGGAAGCAACAGGGAAUCUACUGAGGAAAGGCCAGACCUGCCGUUAGAGCACAGUCACAUCAUGAAGCCAGUAGGUCUGGCAGGAGAAGGCCCAGCCUGCAAACCAAACCACGGAGACCUGGGUGUGCUGGGAGUUUUCGAGAAGCCAAAGACACCCGAUGGGGAAGGGGUCUUUGAGCCUUUACAAGUCACGUUUUGAAGCUCUUCUUCCCAACCACAAGGACUUAGAACUUUCUUUUUUCUUUAAACGAAAGCAGAGACCUUCACCAUAUAAAGUGAUCCCCAAGAGCUGGAGCUUGAUGAAGAACACUAACAAUCACAGGAGUUGACAACACUGCAUUUCAGAUCUGAUUCUUGACAAUCCAGGGCAGUGCUGACAGCCAGCAAAUUUUCACUAUGGAAAAUGUAAAGGCUAUUGUUUGUUUGACUUUUUUUUAAAAAACCUCUUUUAAAAAUACUCACAAUCCAGAGAAAUAGCCCUUUGCUGCCCUUUGUUUUGCAAAUAAUUAGUUAACUUUUCUCAUCUUUUCCCUGUGUUCAGAUUAGGCUGAAGCAGCAAUUGAGGGCACAGGUGAUUUUCUCUACUCACUGCUUGGGAAGCAGGCAGGGGGAAGAGCAUUGCAUAUGCUCAGUGGUGACACUCCUUAAGAAGAGCGAGAUGGCUGACACUGCGCAUGUGAGUGGCCUUUACAUGCAGGCCCCCAAUCUGCAACUGGCUCUACAGGAGUGGUCCUCUGUACCUACGCAGAGUCCACUAGGGGACUGCCUGUGGGAUUCAACUGUAAGAUUGGGCCUUAAUCUUUAAGAAGACAAAAAGGGUGAUAAGCCAAGUCGCUCCUGGUUUCGGGCAAUAACAGUAUAAUAUCGUCCCCAUUGUUUAAGUAUUACUCCAGUGGUGAAAUCACAUCCUUAGCCUUUUGUUCCAGCCAUUCUGAUUACAACCUUGGUAAUUUCUGUUUAAUUAUCACACAAGUGAUGCUUUACAGCUGUCAAGUUUAAAACCAGGUAGUGGAGCUGAUACUGUCCUGCAGUAUACAGUGAGAAGUGCAGUAUGUGUGGUGGAGAUCUGAACUAUUACUGCGCCAGCCAGAAAGCAUAUUACCCAACCAUGGGCUGCCACAGAGCUCCACACAGAAUGAAUGCUUUUUAAAAAAUUAAAUUAGUCUGUGUUGAAGAAAAUAAAAUAUAUGGCUACUUGGCUCCAUGCUAUCCCAAUAAAUGGCCUGUGAUUUAAACAUCAGGCCAGUGGUAUAUUCCAACUGAAAUGCACAUGUUGGCACAGAGUUCGCAUAGCCUGGCUGCGUGAUAUGUUGGGUCAUAUAAAAUUUGGAACAUAGGGUUGUUUUUUUCUCCUCCCCCUUGUGGGCACUGUUAACUUGAAUGGAUAUAAUGGGCAUUUUGGAAAGAAGGGAAAGGGGUCUAGCCAAGGUGCAGGUAGAAAUUAAUGGGCUGUGUUGAAGCCAGUGGAGCUACACAAGGGUGAAUAUGGCCCAUCUUUUCCACUUGCCCUUGAAUCCAGACUAAUCAAUCCCUUGCAAUAGUUAUUUUAUGCCUGGAAUUAACAUUGGGAUUUUGGUGAAUAAAUCACCUUCCAGAAUCUACCUGAUCUUCAGCAACGGGCUUGUGAGAUCCAGGUACCCCUGUGGCCAACCUGUUGUCAGGAGGUUCUGCCUCCUCCCUCCGUCAUGGAACCUAGAGUUACACUUUGAAGGGGAAUGUUAUGCCCAAGGAUUUGAUCUCGUCAGCUGCACUGAAACAAACAAAUUGACCACUGCCAUCUAGGGCCAGGAGCCUUUUUCCAAACAUCAACUCUUCCCAGCCAGGACAUGGCAUUUUCCACAGCCUUCCUGCCUACAAGUUCCAAGGUCUAAACUAAACUUGGAAGAAGCCUUAGGUACCUCCCCUUCUUGUUCUUGCCAUGCCUGGUCUGUCUUGGGGAAGUCCAAGGAGAUCAUCUUCCUGCAAUCCACAGCCAGUCUCUACCAGCAGGUACAUCACCCACCUAUGCAACACUUUCAGAAACUGCUGAGGCUUCAGGAGUCCAUACCAAUGUGCAGUAUGUGCUUCUGGCACUGGUGACAAGCUCAGCGGCCCUUGGAAACCAAUUGGUAGUUAGCGGUAGUGUUUUGUUUUUUUAAGACGUUUAAUGGGGAAAAUGAGACUUUAUGGGAAUACAUGUGCCCUUCUGGAAACAUCACCAGUUCUUGGAACUUUGGGGAUUUUGUAGAUCACCCACUGUGAUUAGACUUUAGUGGACUUUGUGGACCAAACACACACACGGAUCGCUCACUCUCCAUCAGUGCAAGCAGCUUCUGCAAUCUUAGCUAUUCACUUAGUGAAAGAAACACAACAUAGCUACAAUGUGUCAAGAUGAUUUAGUAUUUGUAUCAGUCACAUGAUUCUACUGUCCAUUAGCUGCACUGUCAGCUGACAUCUAAUGAGUUCUGACUUUGGAUGGCAGCCCUUGAAGCAAUCAGGGUGAAAAGGAUUCAAAACACAGGCCUGAGAAUACAAACAAGUCUCCAGAAGCAGGAGCAGAUGCAGGAGAUCAGGUGAUAACAGAUGGAUUCUUCUUCUUCAAGUUAAGGAGAGAGUUUUUUCAUCAGAUUUUUCUUCUGGGGAACAAUUGGCCCUGAGUGAUGAGAUUGGAUGUGGGGAGGUGAAGGUGGGAGAAUGACAUAAUAGAUUCUGGGCAAGUCAACGCUACAGUGCUACAUAGGCACAGCUGCACCAAUGCAGCUGAGCUGCUAUAGCGCAUCCGGUUUAGAUGUACUAUGCUGACGAGAGAACGCUCUCCCAUCGGCAUAAUUACUGCACCUCAGUGAGAAGCUUAAGCUAUGUCAGUGGGAGAGCGUCUCGCACCGACAGCUCCAGUGUGGACAGCGCAAAACUUGUGUCACUGGGGGGCGCUUUUUCACAGCCCUGAGCAGUGUAAGUUAGACCGACUUAACUGGUAGUGUAGACCUGCCCUCUGAGAGAGACAUGAUGAGAUAACAGCUUUUAUUGGAUCAACUUCUGUUGGAGAAAGAGACAAACUUUCAAGAAGAGCUCUGU